rnacentral:rRNA from 1 species
UACGAAGGGGCUAGCGUUGCUCGGAAUUACUGGGCGUAAAGCGCACGUAGGCGGCUUUCUAAGUCGGGGUGAAAUCCUGGAGCUCAACUCCAGAACUGCCUUCGAUACUGGAGAGCUCGAGUCCGGGAGAGGUGAGUGGAACUGCGAGUGUAGAGGUGAAAUUCGUAGAUAUUCGCAAGAACACCAGUGGCGAAGGCGGCUCACUGGCCGGUACUGACGCUGAGGUGCGAAAGCGUGGGAGCGAACAGG